rnacentral:rRNA from 1 species
CCUACGGGUGGCAGCAGUGGGGAAUAUUGGGCAAUGGGCGCAAGCCUGACCCAGCAACGCCGCGUGAAGGAAGAAGGCUUUCGGGUUGUAAACUUCUUUCAACAGGGAAGAGAAGAAGACGGUACCUGUCAGAUAACCCACGGCUAACUACGUGCCCGCAGCCGCGGUAAUACGUAGGGGGAGCGCGUUGUGCGGAUUUACUGGGUGUAAAGGGCGUGUAGGCGGGCUGACAAGUCUGAUGUGAAAUCCGGGGGCUCAACCCCCGAACUGCAUUUGAGACUGUGGGUCUUGAGUAUCGGAGAGGCAAGCGGAAUUCCUAGUGUAGCGGUGAAAUGCGUAGAUAUUAGGAGGAACACCAGUGGCGAAGGCGGCUUGCUGGACUACAACUGACGGUGAGGCGCGAAAGCGUGGGGAGCAAACAGGAUUAGAUACCCCAGUAGUC